rnacentral:rRNA from 1 species
CAGCCGCCACGGUAAUACGUAGGUCCCGAGCGUUGUCCGGAUUUAUUGGGCGUAAAGCGAGCGCAGGCGGUUAGAUAAGUCUGAAGUUAAGGGCUGUGGCUUAACCAUAGUACGCUUUGGAAACUGUUUAACUUGAGUGCAAGAGGGGAGAGUGGAAUUCCAUGUGUAGCGGUGAAAUGCGUAGAUAUAUGGAGGAACACCGGUGGCGAAAGCGGCUCUCUGGCUUGUAACUGACGCUGAGGCUCGAAAGCGUGGGGAGCAAACAGGAUUAGAUACCCCGGUGUCCCUGUCUCUUAUACAC